rnacentral:rRNA from 1 species
AUUGAACGCUGGCGGCAGGCUUAACACAUGCAAGUCGAGCGGAGUGGUGGUGCUUGCACUAUCACUUAGCGGCGGACGGGUGAGUAAUGCUUAGGAAUCUGCCUAUUAGUGGGGGACAACAUUUCGAAAGGAAUGCUAAUACCGCAUACGUCCUACGGGAGAAGGCAGGGGAUCUUCGGACCUUGCGCUAAUAGAUGAGCCUAAGUCGGAUUAGCUAGUUGGUGGGGUAAAGGCCUACCAAGGCGACGAUCUGUAGCGGGUCUGAGAGGAUGAUCCGCCACACUGGGACUGAGACACGGCCCAGACUCCUACGGGAGGCAGCAGUGGGGAAUAUUGGACAAUGGGCGGAAGCCUGAUCCAGCCAUGCCGCGUGUGUGAAGAAGGCCUUAUGGUUGUAAAGCACUUUAAGCGAGGAGGAGGCUACUUUAGUUAAUACCUAGAGAUAGUGGACGCUACUCGCAGAAUAAGCACCGGCUAACUCUGUGCCAGCCGCCGCGGUAACAC